rnacentral:rRNA from 1 species
AGUCUGGUGCCAGCAGCCGCGGUAAUUCCAGCUCCAAUAGCGUAUAUUAAAGUUGUUGCAGUUAAAAAGCUCGUAGUUGGAUCUGGGGUUCGGGUCGGCGGUUUGCCGCUUCGGCGGCUACUGCCGUGCUCGACUCUUACUAGCCGGUGCGUCUUGCGGUGCUCUUCAUCGAGUGCCAUAGGAGCCUGGCAUGUUUACUUUGAAAAAAUUAGAGUGCUCAAAGCAGGCGAUUCCGCCUGAAUAGUGUUGCAUGGAAUAAUGGAAUAGGACCUCGGUUCUAUUUUGUUGGUUUUCGGAACUUGAGGUAAUGAUUAAGAGGGACGGUCGGGGGCAUUCGUAUUUCGGUGUUAGAGGUGAAAUUCUUGGAUCGCUGAAAGACGGACAAAUGCGAAAGCAUCUGCCAAGAACGUCUCCAUUAAUCAAGAGCGAAAGUCAGAGGUUCGAAGACGAUCAGACACCGUCCUAGUUCUGACCAUAAACGAUGCCAACUAGCGAUCCGCAGUGGUUGCUAUAAACGGACUCUGCGAGCAGCUUCCGGGAAACCAAAGUGUUUGGGUUCCGGGGGAAGUAUGGUUGCAAAGCUGAAACUUAAAGGAAUUGACGGAAGGGCACCACCAGGAGUGGAGCCUGCGGCUUAAUUUGACCCAACACGGGGAAACUCACCCGGUCCGGACACUGUAAGGAUUUACAGAUCGAGAGCUCUUUCUUGAUUCGGUGGAUGGUGGUGCAUGGCCGUUCUUAGUUGGUGGAGUGAUUUGUCUGGUUAAUUCCGAUAACGAACGAGACUCUAGCCUGCUAACUAGUUGCGCCGUGUUCAUACGCGGCUGUAGACUUCUUAGAGGGACAGGUGGCGUUUAGCCACACGAAAUUGAGCAAUAACAGGUCUGUGAUGCCCUUAGAUGUCCGGGGCCGCACGCGCGCUACACUGAAGGAGUCAGCGUGUGCUAUCCGGGCUCGGAAGAGUUCGGUAACCCGUUGAAACUCCUUCGUGCUUGGGAUUGUGGCUUGUAAUUAUCGCGCAUGAACGAGGAAUUCCCAGUAAGUGCAAGUCAUCAGCUUGCGCUGACUACGGCCCUGCCCUUUGUACACACCGCCCGUCGCUACUACCGAUUGAAUGGUUUAGCAAGGUACUCGGAUUGGUCUCGAUCUUGUACGAAAGUGCGGGAUCUGUGGCCGAGAAGAAGGCCAAACUUGAUCAUUUAGAGGAAGUAAA